rnacentral:rRNA from 1 species
AUUGAACGCUGGCGGCAGGCCUAACACAUGCAAGUCGAACGAGUGGCGGACGGGUGAGUAAUGUCUGGGAAACUGCCCGAUGGAGGGGGAUAACUACUGGAAACGGUAGCUAAUACCGCAUACCAUCUGAUGUGCCCAGAUGGGAUUAGCUAGUAGGUGGGGUAACGGCUAACCUAGGCCACGCUCCCUCGCUGGUCUGAGAGGAUGACCAGCCACGCUGGAACUGAGAAACGGUCCAGACUCCUACGGGAGGCAGCAGUGGUGAAUAUUGCACAAUGGGCGCAAGCCUGAUGCAGCCAGGACGAGUGUAUGAAGAAGGCCUUCGGGUUGUAAAGUACUUUCAGCGAGGAGGCGUUACGCGCAGAAGAAGCAUCGGCUAACUCCGUACCAGCCGCCGCGGUAAUAC